rnacentral:rRNA from 1 species
UAAUACAUGCAAGUCGAGCGGACCGACGGGAGCUUGCUCCCUUAGGUCAGCGGCGGACGGGUGAGUAACACGUGGGUAACCUGCCUGUAAGACUGGGAUAACUCCGGGAAACCGGGGCUAAUACCGGAUGCUUGAUUGAACCGCAUGGUUCAAUCAUAAAAGGUGGCUUUUAGCUACCACUUGCAGAUGGACCCGCGGCGCAUUAGCUAGUUGGUGAGGUAACGGCUCACCAAGGCGACGAUGCGUAGCCGACCUGAGAGGGUGAUCGGCCACACUGGGACUGAGACACGGCCCAGACUCCUACGGGAGGCAGCAGUAGGGAAUCUUCCGCAAUGGACGAAAGUCUGACGGAGCAACGCCGCGUGAGUGAUGAAGGUUUUCGGAUCGUAAAACUCUGUUGUUAGGGAAGAACAAGUACCGUUCGAAUAGGGCGGUACCUUGACGGUACCUAACCAGAAAGCCACGGCUAACUACGUGCCAGCAGCCGCGGUAAUACGUAGGUGGCAAGCGUUGUCCGGAAUUAUUGGGCGUAAAGCGCGCGCAGGCGGUUUCUUAAGUCUGAUGUGAAAGCCCCCGGCUCAACCGGGGAGGGUCAUUGGAAACUGGGGACUUGAGUGCAGAAGAGGAGAGUGGAUUCCACGUGUAGCGGUGAAAUGCGUAGAGAUGUGGAGGAACACCAGUGGCGAAGGCGACUCUCU